rnacentral:tRNA from 1 species
GCCUCCGUAGUUUAGUUGGUUAUAACACCCCACUAGUACGUAAUAUAACGAUAAUGGGGAGGUCUGUCGUUCGAAUCGGCACGGAGGCA